rnacentral:rRNA from 1 species
UACGAGAGGCCCAAACGUUAUUCGGAAUUACUGGGCUUAAAGAGUUCGUAGGCGGCAUUGCAAGUAGGGUGUGAAAUCCCCCGGCUUACCCGGGGACCGGCAUCCCAUACUGCUUGGCUUGAGUACGGGAGAGGAUGUGGGAAUUCCUGGUGUAGCGGUGAAAUGCGUAGAUAUCAGGAGGAACACCGGUGGCGAAGGCGCACAUCUGGCCCGAUACUGACGCUAAAGCGCGAAAGCUAGGGGAGCAAACGGG